rnacentral:rRNA from 1 species
AACGAACGCUGGCGGCGCGCCUAAUACAUGCAAGUCGAGCGAGAAGACGUAGCAAUACGUUUGUAAAGCGGCGAACGGGUGAGGAAUACAUGGGUAACCUACCCUCGAGUGGGGAAUAACUAGCCGAAAGGUUAGCUAAUACCGCGUACGCUCCUUGGACUUCGGUUCAGGGAGGAAAGCGAUACCGUGGGUAUCGCGCUCUUGGAUGGGCUCAUGUCCUAUCAGCCUUGUUGGNGAGGUAACGGCUCACCAAGGCUUCGACGGGUAGCUGGUCUGAGAGGACGAUCAGCCACACUGGCACUGCGACACGGGCCAGACUCCUACGGGAGGCAGCAGUAAGGAAUAUUGCGCAAUGGGCGAAAGCCUGACGCAGCGACGCCGCGUGGGGGA